rnacentral:rRNA from 1 species
GAUGAACGCUGGCGGCGUGCUUAACACAUGCAAGUCGAACGGAAAGGCCCAAGCUUGCUUGGGUGCUCGAGUGGCGAACGGGUGAGUAACACGUGGGUGAUCUACCCUGCACUUUGGGAUAAGCCUGGGAAACUGGGUCUAAUACCGGAUAGGACCAUCGUUUAGUGUCGGUGGUGGAAAGUUUUUCGGUGUGGGAUGAGCUCGCGGCCUAUCAGCUUGUUGGUGGGGUAAUGGCCUACCAAGGCGUCGACGGGUAGCCGGCCUGAGAGGGUGUACGGCCACAUUGGGACUGAGAUACGGCCCAGACUCCUACGGGAGGCAGCAGUGGGGAAUAUUGCACAAUGGGCGCAAGCCUGAUGCAGCGACGCCGCGUGGGGGAUGACGGCCUUCGGGUUGUAAACUCCUUUCGCCAAGGACGAAGCGUUUUGUGACGGUACUUGGAGAAGAAGCACCGGCUAACUACGUG